AAUAAAAUCACCUCUCUAGGGCAGGAACUCUUGCGGGUUUCUGAAUUGGCAGGGUCAUUUCCCCAGAGGUUGAAAAGAACGGACCUGCACUCAUUCCAUUUUAUGCUACUGCUUGCUUGCUUGUGCUCUUGUUUGAUUUGCAUUUCAACUCCAUUUCUGCCAACAAAUGCAGCCCCAGGUUCUCCUUAGAAUAACUUCUUCCCGGCCAGGCACGGAGUCAAAUUACAAACUGAAUUGGGGAAGGAGGCCAAACGAAGAUCCACCUUGUCUUGCUCCUUAUGUAGGAGUUUACUAGGGCUGCACCUGGGAUUGGCUUUCUCUGCCAGGCCUUUUCUAUUAUCUAAUUCAGCUGUAAGGAAAUUUAGAGGAAGAGUCAUUAAAGAAGUAUUUUUAAAAUGGAAAAAUAGUGGAUAUAGAUAUUUCAUUCUGAAGGCCAUUCAUGUUAAAAAAUGAUACUCUCUUGGACAAAGGAGACAAUGAUGGAGUGAAAUGCUCUUAUGUGAAAGCCUCUGUCACUCACCAGAAGAAGUUCACCAUCAGUUGAGAGCCCAUGUUAUGUCUCUGGGGAGGAAAGGUAGGUAAAGGAUACAGGAUUGGAAGGUAAGGAACUAAGGUCCUAGCUUUUACUCCCCUAAUGACUUUGUGAUGCUGCACACAUUUCCGAUCUUUUUCUCUCUCUGUGGUUUUUUAAAUUUUCUUGAUAACAUUAGAAUGUUUAGGCUCUUGCCAUAAGUAAAAAUGUUUUCUAUGGAUGUGUGUAUUUGCAUAUUUAUCACAGUCAAAAUAAUCAGUCUCCAAAAAUGCAAAAGAUUGGGUAGGAUUAUGUAACACAUUCUUAAAAUAUUAAAACCUGCACACAUUAAAGCAUCAAGUUAAAUAGUUGUUAACCUGUCUCACUAAUAAUCGCCUGCUUAGAUCCAGUCUGUGAGAGGAAAAGGAAGCAAUAAAUUUGACCUUCACUUACCGCAUGUUUUAAUUGCACAGUACUCCCAGCGGGUGUGAGGGUCAAGAGUAUAGCACCAUGGCCUCGGCUGGCCAUCGGGAUUGCGGCAAUAAUUAUCAUCAAAGCCCUUGUCGGGAUAUCUGCAAACCACACCAAGAAAAGUGUCACGUAAAUCUGCCUGGAAACACCACCCACCCCUCAGCUCACAAAAUAACUUUCCACUUAGGUUGUCUACACCUAGCUGGGGAAAGAGGACGUUUUCUAUGUUUUGCCUUACGAGGACUGCUGAUCACUGACUAUUGAAUCUACUAAUUUAUAUAUCCCACUAAGGACAGAGUAUCAUCCCCUGGCUAAUAAGUUAGGUCUAUGUGGUACCUUUCCACUAGCUGAGGUUCCAAAUCGAGUCUCUUUCUCUUAGAACCCACUUAAGGGCAGAUUACAAAAACAUGACUUCAUGUAGAAUGCUCAUUAAGAAAACAGGUCCUCUUCUAGGGAAGGCUUAAAGUUCAAACUGAAAGUUCAGUUUCAAUAGCGCUGUUACUAAUGAUAACUCAGUUUUGGAAAUAGAGCCCUUCGAGGUCAUGCCCUCACCUUCACCAGAUCAUGAGACAAACUUCAUCACACUACUUUCUCCACACCCCACCUCCCUUCAAAUGAACAGAGUCCUGAAUUGGUGACUUGAUUUUAAUUGCUACCAUAUCCCUUCUGCUCUCACUUAAACGACAAGACAAGCAUUUAUUUGGAAAAUAAGCUGGAGUUUUAAUUUCAUUAAAAAUAACACCAAACAAAAAAGAAUAGAGAAAAAGAACAAAGAAAAAACACCUAACAGCAAUUUCCAAAGAAAGGUGGGGGACGGAAUUUCCUGUGUAAUUAUUUGUAUUUUUAUUCUUUAUAAUCAAAAUAAAUGAACUUCUUCCUUUUUUUUCCACCUUAAAAGUUUCAUGUAAAAUACAUGGGCAAAAGUAGACAUGAUUUUUUUUUUUUUUUUGGCGGAGAUGGGUAAUAAUUUAAGCUCAAAACCUAUUCCUGGGGAUAAAAGAUAGAUUAGUUGCCUGACUUCUCCAAAUUGGCUUUUUAUAUGGGCAAUUUCAAAACACACCAGGACAAAGCAACCUGAAUGGUUUGCUCUACUUUUUACUCCCUAUGACCACUACUUAUGUCAUGCUGUUAUGUGUGUGGCCUGCAGUACCUGAGUCUCUGAAGAUGCUGCUCCAGAAGGAGAUUUGCCUGCAAUUAGUAACAAUACCUCUAAUCACAGCUAAGACUUGUCAAAGUGGUCAUUACUGAAUUGGUCCUGUGGUUUGCUUUGGUUUUGUUUUGUUUCUGCUCUGAGAGAGAAAGAAGCUUCUUUUUGUGCUUCCACUCUAUACCCUGCUGAUGAUUUUGUGUUCAGUACCAUGCUGAUUUUAGAAACUCUGACCAGUUGGCUAUGUAGUCAGUGUUCUCAUGUACCUCAUCAUAAAUCUUUUUGCCCUUAGACUAUUUCCUCCAAAUAUAAUGGCCAGAAAUUCUGUCAGAAGAACUCCUGAACAUUCUGGGAGUUCUAAAUGUUAUGUUCAUGUCCUAUCGGGAAAACAUAAUAUAAAGAGAAUUUCCACAGCAGUGUGUCAUAGAGUGAAUAAUAGUUUGUAAAAGAAUCACUGAAAGCAUGAUUCAUUAAUAUUUUACCUUUCAGGCAAGAAUUUGUGCCGGUGUGGUGUCUGAUGAUCCCAGCGCUGACAAAUCUUGCCUGAUUCUGUAUGAUCCAUGAGACCUCGAUAACUCUCCCCAUUGCAGGUCAUGCAUUCAACUAAUAAAAUUAAAGUAUGGCAUGUUAAUUGUUUCUGACAGCAAAAUCAAAAACACCACUGUUGCAUUUAAAGAACAGCACCUGUUUAGUAAACAGAUUUUUAAAAAAUCCUACACAUCAUUCUAACUUUUUAUUAGGGCCUAAUGUCUAUAAAUAGUGACAUAAACUACUCCCUAUAGAACACAUCAUACAGUUUAAGUGGGAUUUUUGUACUUAGUGUCACACAGAUUUACUAUAGGGCCACGACGCUGUCUAUCUAUUUUUUCAAUAACUGUCUCAAAGGUAUCUAGAAAAUGGAAAUAAAAGACAGAUCCUUGGAAAUUUUUCCCGUGUUGGUCUAAAAUGCAAAGAUCUCAGUAUCUAUUUGUCAGCACAAUAGUGUUUCUCUCUCAAUUUGCCCUCCAAAUACAUACACAGGAAAUACAAAGUUUAAUUGAGUUUGUGUCAUACUUUUAUGGUUAAUGACAUAAUCAAGACCACAUAGAUUUAAGAGACUGGCUUCAUAUAGAAAUCUGGUGCAAUUCAAAGAAUACGGAUAUUUUUAAAAAAUAAAUCACAGCUCCUUUCUGUUAGCGAACAUCCAUGUUGAAUAAGCUGGGCAGGUUUACAUUCCUGUCUGGCUUAGGAUAGAAGAUGACCUGCUAUUGAACUCCAUGUUCCCACUCUUUUUAAAAUGUAUAAGCUAAUGUAAUUAGGUAGGCUCUUACUGAUGAUUUUGUGAGGUUAAUUCAUUGUUCUCUUCUGGCUGGCCUCUUAUGUCACACAGAAAACUGAAUCACAUCAAUUGCUGAAAGUGAGACUUCUCAAACAGACAGGUUGAUUUGUAGCACAGAAAGCAUCCUGUGGAAUAAAUCAUUGCUUGGCUUUCCUAUGAAUCAGGCAAACUUCCUUAAACACAUCAUUUGUAUCUUGCAAUUACUGAUCAUCUAACUUUAGCUGAAGUGGGAAGAGGCAUCAAUGUUUAGUUUUAUCCAACGGAAUCUAGCCUAAUGAGUAUUUGUAGUAAUUUGGGAUUAUAGUAUUAGAAUCAUCACUUUUGAAUCCUUGAUUCUUAUAAUCUAAUAGGGACAUUAACUAUUAACUUUCUGAAACAUGCAACAACUUGGCUUGAUCCAUCUGCUUUCCUUCAUUUAUAUUAAUACAUUAGCUAAGAGGCCAACUCGGCUUCCCUUCAUUUGAUACUGAGAUUUUCCAGACUACACCCAAUAAGCACCUGAACUGUAAAUGAGUGGAGUCCAUGAGCAUAUCAAUAAAGGUGCUCAGGUUGGCCAGGGUCAUAGCAGUGCUCAACAUAGGUGAUGCAAUGUUACAUUUCAGCUUUCCAUUUGAAUGCUUAACAGGUUCAUUUAGGUAUCUCUCUCUUUUUUUAAAGAACACAAAUUUUGAUACCGUCAAAGAAAAUGAUGCAGCAUUUAUCGUUAUUUGUUCCUUCGUGUUGGAUGAAAUGUACAAUAGAGUACUAGGGUCACACAUAAAAGAUAAGUAUUCAUAUGUACAAUUUCUACUCUUGUAUAGUACUCAGGAAAGAGAUUACAUCUAUUAUGCCUCCUUCAGCAAAUGCAGCUUGUGAUAGUAUAUUCCUUUCUAACGAGGGUGAAUAGAAUUAUUUUCUGGUAAUCACUACAUUGAGCAGUAUUAUAAAAAUUUUUCCUUGACUUACACAUUUUAAUGGUUUUAAGAAAAAAUAGCUACAUGAAUGAAACAGAUGGUUCCAUAAGAUGACCACUUUCCAUUAUGAGUGUGGCAGAUCAAUGCUUGUUCAAAUAUGAAUGUGUGCAAAAACCUCCUUGAGAUCCUGUUAAGAGGCAAGUUCUGAGUCAGUGGGUCUGGGCUGGGGCACUAAUAACAAGCUCCCAGGCAUUGCUGCUGUUGCUGGUACUUGGACCUCACUUUGCUCUGCAACUUUCUAGAUAACAGGAUCUAUUAUAAAAGUUCUGGCCAGGCACGGUGGCUCACGCCUGUAAUCCCAGCACUUUGGGAGGCCAAGAUGGGCGGAUCACGAGGUCAGGAGAUCGAGACCAUCCUGGCUAACACGGUGAAACCCCGUCUCUACUAAAAAUAUAAAAAAAUUAAUCAGGUGUGGUGGUGGGCACCUGUAGUCCCAGCUACUCGGGAGGCUGAUGCAGGAGAAUGGCGUGAACCCGGGAGAUGGAGCUUGCAGUGAGCCGAGAUGGCACCACUGCACUCCAGCCUGGGCGACAGAGCGAGACUCCGUCUCAAAAAAUAAAAAAAAGAAGUUCUAAGUAUUUGGCCGUAAUAGUUUUAUAAGAGAGACUAGAUUUUACUAGGAUCUUGAAUAGAUGAGAGUUGGAUAAAUUAUAAAGGGACAAAAUAACAUAAAAUCAGAAGCAUAAGUAUACUAUGUUGAUAGUAAAGGGAAGAGAGAGUUAUGAUUGCAGUUGUGGGCCUAAAAAUAAAUAAAUAAAAGUUAGCAAGAAUAAUGUUACAUUUUAGAAAGCAAUGAAAGUUAUUGUUGGGGUGGGAAUUAAACAUGCCAUGAUUGAAUUGAGAUACUUAAAUAUAUUACAGUUACAUAUUAUUUGAUUGUUUAUACCAUACUUUUAACAUAAAAGGUAUAGGCCAGGUGCAGUGGCUCAAGCCUGCAAUCCUAGCACUUUGGGAGGCCAAGGCAGGCAGAUUGCCUGAGGUCAGGAGUUUGAGACCACCUUGGGUCUGGUGGUGCGUGCCUGUAGUCCCAGCUACUUGGAAGGCUGAGGCAGGAGAAUUGCUUGAACCCAGGAGGUGGAGGCUGCACUGAGCCGAGAUGGUGCCACUGCACCACUCCAGCCUGGGCGACAGAGCAAGACUCUGUCUAAAAAACAAAAAACAAAAAACAAAAACAAACAAAUAAAUAUGAAAACAUGAAAAGUAUCAUCUGAUUCUUACAGUGAGGAAAACAAGUCUCACAAAAGUUUUAAGAGACUUACCUAAAACACAAAAUGUUAAACCUGAGCCAGGAACACAAAUCUUCUGACCCAUAGUCUUAGUAUUUUUUUUGCAUUAUCCCAAACUGCCUUUUUGUUUUAUAUAUUUUAACUUAUUUCCUACAUAUUCUAACUGGUUAUACUUUAUGAUAUACUGAUAGCAAUAACUUUAGAAAGUUGGUAUCCCUACCCUUUUCAACAUUGUCCUCAUUGCCCUCUGCUUUUUUGUUUACAACAGUUAACUUGCUCUCCUGUUGAAGUCUCAUCUAUUGGAGGAAUUGCAGGGAAAGUGCAUGGGAAUGUAACUAGAUUGGACACCUUAUCCAAAGUCAAUGGCUGAAAAGUUGGCUGUUUUACCACGGAAUCAAGCCAUCAAGUUAGUCAUAAGAAUUAUCUCAAGAAAGCCAAAUUUUUAACUCAUAUUCACUUUUCAAGCUUUGGGAAUUCUCAGAUUCUUCUAAUUUUUCUUAAAGUCAAGCAGUUCAGGUGAAACCAAGUCCAUGUAUUCAAGGAAACAGGUGAACAUAUAAACGAUGUAACAGUUUAUAUGUAGGAGUGCCCUUUGGCUCUGUCUAUUGCUGUCAGUACAUUAUUUACCUGCUCCAGCAAGUUCUCCUCUAAAACAAAACAAAACAAAACAAAACAAAACAAGCUAACUACUGCCCUAGAUAGAUCACAAAAACUCACAGAGUAAUGGUUUCUGUUCAUCGGUUCAAUAUUUGUUCUAAGUACAGUUCUGGACUGAAUAAUAGUAGAAUACUACAAAAACUGUAUAUGAAUUAGAAAACACAGAGGAUUAAUUUAACAGCUUUCUCAUCAUACUAACCAACCAAACUUUAAAAAUGUGUUUCAUUUUUCUCCGUCAUAAAACAGGAGUGAUAUGAGUAUACAGACUAAAAGAGUUAUUUUGAAAGUAUCUGAAUCUAUUUUUAAUUAGUGUUUGUUUUAUUCCAUUAAAGACAGUCUCAGAAAAAUCCAUACAGGUGAUUACUUCAACAAAACUGAAUGUUUAAAAUAUAAAUAGUCUCACAAAUUAACAUAUAUAAAUAAAAGUUUGUCAAAUAAAUUAUGAGUUGCCAUUUAAUCUUUGUAACUUGCCAUUUAAUCUUUGUUUUUAAAAGUCUUCACACAGAGUAUCGAAUUAUACACAUAAACUUAUGUCAGUAUUAUGUGGGAUUUUAAAUGUAUUGUAUUUUUUAAAAUAAUGAUUAUGGCUUAAUUAAAAUAUAUUUACUUGAUCAUUUGACAAUCAUUAGAAAUGACAUCUGUUCCAAUGACCAAUGAUUGUUUUAUUUUAAAUUUCAAGCAAACGCUAAAGCAAGAAAAUGGAUUUUGCAUACCUCAACUUUCUAAAACUUUUGAAUCAAGCACUAAUUAUUUUCUCUGUAUAACUCUAUAAGGUUCUUUCUUAAAACU
rnacentral:lncRNA from 1 species